rnacentral:rRNA from 1 species
AGACAGCAGUCGCCACGGGAAUACAGAGGGUGCAAGCGUUAAUCGGAAUUACUGGGCGUAAAGCGCGCGUAGGUGGUUUGUUAAGUUGGAUGUGAAAUCCCCGGGCUCAACCUGGGAACUGCAUCCAAAACUGGCAAGCUAGAGUAUGGUAGAGGGUGGUGGAAUUUCCUGUGUAGCGGUGAAAUGCGUAGAUAUAGGAAGGAACACCAGUGGCGAAGGCGACCACCUGGACUGAUACUGACACUGAGGUGCGAAAGCGUGGGGAGCAAACAGGAUUAGAGACCCCAGUAGUCCCUGUCUCUUAUAC